rnacentral:rRNA from 1 species
GAACGAACGCUGGCGGCAGGCCUAACACAUGCAAGUCGAGCGAAGACUUCGGUCUUAGCGGCGGACGGGUGAGUAACGCGUGGGAACGUGCCCUUCACUACGGAAUAGUCCCGGGAAACUGGGUUAAUACCGUAUACGCCCUUCGGGGGAAAGAAUUUCGGUGAAGGAUCGGCCCGCGUCUGAUUAGGUAGUUGGUGGGGUAAUGGCCUACCAAGCCUACGAUCAGUAGCUGGUUUGAGAGGAUGAUCAGCCACACUGGGACUGAGACACGGCCCAGACUCCUACGGGAGGCAGCAGUGGGGAAUCUUAGACAAUGGGGGAAACCCUGAUCUAGCCAUGCCGCGUGAGUGACGAAGGCCCUAGGGUCGUAAAGCUCUUUCACCCGUGAAGAUAAUGACGGUAGCGGGAGAAGAAACCCCGGCUAACUCCGUGCCAGCAGCCGCGGUAAUACGGAGGGGGUUAGCGUUGUUCGGAAUUACUGGGCGUAAAGCGCGCGUAGGCGGGCUGUUAAGUCGGGGGUGAAAUCCCGGGGCUCAACCCAGGACGUGCGUUCGAUACUGCGUGGCUAGAGUACGGUAGAGGAAAGUGGAAUUCCUAGUGUAGGGGUGAAAUCCGUAGAUAUUAGGAGGAAUACCAAAGGCGAAGGCAGCUUUCUGGCCCGUAACUGACACUCAGACCCGAAAGCGUGGGUAGCAAACAGGAUUAGAUACCCUGGUAGUCCACGCCGUAAACGAUGGAUGCUUGUCGUUGGAGGAUUGAAACCUUCAGUGACGGAGCUAACGCGUUAAGCAUCCCGCCUGGGGAGUACGGUCGCAAGAUUAAAACUCAAAGAAAUUGACGGGGACCCGCACAAGCAGUGGAGCAUGUGGUUUAAUUCGACGCAACGCGAAGAACCUCAUCCUGGUCUUGACAUCUACUGGACGGCUCAUGGAAACAUGGCUUUCCCUUCGGGGACCGGUAGACAGGUGCUGCAUGGCUGUCGUCAGCUCGUGUCGUGAGAUGUUGGGUUAAGUCCCGCAACGAGCGCAACCCACGCCCCUUGUUGCCAUCAUUUAGUUGGGCACUCUAGGGGGACCGCCGGCGUCAAGCCGGAGGAAGGUGUGGAUGACGUCAAGUCCUCAUGGCCCUUAUGACCAGGGCUACACACGUGCUACAAUGGAACGUACAAAGGGUAGCCAAACCGCAAGGUGGAGCAAAUCUCAAAAAACGUUCCUCAGUUCGGAUUGAGGUCUGCAACUCGACCUCAUGAAGCUGGAAUUGCUAGUAAUCGCAGAUCAGCAUGCUGCGGUGAUACGUUCUCGGGUCUUGUACACACCGCCCGUCACACCACGAAAGUCGCUUGCACCAGAAGACGCUGUGGUAACUUCGGAGCUAGGCGUCCAAGGU